rnacentral:tRNA from 1 species
GGGGGCUUGGUUCAGUGGUAGAACAACGGUCUCCAAAACCGUUGACGGGGGUUCGAUUCCCUCAGCCCCUGCAA